CCUCAGGAACGGGCGAGGGGGGCCGGGGUGUCCCAUCACGUGACCGCCCGGGACCGGGACCCCCUCAGCCCUCACCGGGACCGGCCCGAGGGACCCCCGGGCACGAGGGACCCCCGGCCUGGGGCAUCAGGGACCUCCGGGACUCGAGCCCCUCACGGCAGCGCCGCCUCCGGCUCCUGCGGGAUGGAAACAGGGCUGCUGGGCCCGUGUGUGCAUCACAGAGUCACAGGAGGGAUGUGGUUGGAAGAGACCUCUGGAGAUCACUCAGUUCAACCCUGCUGCCAAGGCAGGGUCACCUGGAGCAGGUGACACAGGAAGGUUUGGAAUGUCUCCAGAGGAGACUCCACGCCCUCCCUGGACAGCUGUUCCAGGAUGAGGUGCUGCUGCCCCUGUGGCCCCUGGAGGGGAUGAGCCAAGCCCAGCCCCAGACAGGUCUGGAGGGUUUGGGGGGUGUGCACGAGGGGAUGUUGGUCCUUGGCACAGGACAACCAUCCCUGCCUGGCACUGGGGCUGCCAGCUGUGAGUGCAGCUGCCCCAUGCCUGGCUCUGAGAGGGCUGGGAGCUUCCUCCCUUCCCAGCGGCUGCUGGGUCCAUGCAAAUGCAUUCCCUGGUGCAAUUUUUCUGGGCUGGCAAAAGGGGGAGGUGGGUGGUGGCAGGGGAAACCUCUGGGCUGGAAAAUGAAGGAGGGAGCAGCACCCUGGGUUGGCAAUGGGGCAGGGGGAGCACCCAGAGGAGGUGAUGGGGAAGGGGAGCAUCCAGGGGAGGUGAUGGGGAAGGGGAGCAGGUAGAGGGGUGAUGAGGAAGAGGAAGCACCUGGAGGGGGUGGUGGGGCAACUGGAGCUGUGACAUGGGGCUGAUGGUGCCACCCUGCAGAUAAGCUGCUCCAGAACAUGGGGAAAGUCUGUGGAGCAUGUGAACAACCCACUGACCUCUGGGCUGCUGGGCCACCUGCUGUCCCAAGGGGUUCUGAGCCUCAGUGGGGUGGAAGAGGUGCAGGAUCAAUGCAGGAUGUGCGUGGAUAGGCUCAGCUCCUCAUUGACACCGUGCUCCAAGGGCCCAGCCACAUCUCCACUGACAGCCUCAGGAUGGCACCUUGGCUGAGCAGCUGGGCCUGGCUGCUGACUUGGGUGAGUGAUGAGGGGCCAUCAUCUGCUCCCAGACAUGCUGGGGCUCCCAGAACCUCCAGUGGGAUGCUGGAAUGGGUCCCAGCCCUGGGGAGUGUCCAACGCUGGAAAGCAAGGGGCAGUUGGGUGUCUCUGGUGUCACUGCUCUGAGCCCCCCUAUGCUGUGACAACAGGGCUUUUGGGGGUGGCUGUCCCUUGCAGGGCUGAACAGGGACCCCCCAGGGUCAUCAACAGGCUCCAUUUUCAUCUAGUGCCUGCCAGAGCAGUUUCAAACCAUGCCUGUAACAGCCACUUAGAGGAGCUCUUCCUGAAGGUGAGCUCUGUGGUUAACCAGCUGUGCCAAGGGUCAGAAAUCCUGCUGGGAGCAGAGCUCAGGCCAGGCCAGGCCAUUUCUCAGCAGGCCCCUUGGGAGCAGGCUGAGUCAAAACCAGGUCUGGGUUGGCCUGGGAAGUCAGCUGGGUCUCUGGAGACAUCAGCACCCUGACAUGUUAUGAGCAUACACGAGCCUGGCAUGUUGGUGCAGCCCAUGGCACCAGACACAUGGCCCUGGACAUGCCCCUGGGAUGCCUCCUGACUCCCUGCACCCUUCUCAUGCAGGGAACAAAGUUCUCUCAUUUCUCCCUGCUGUCUCCCUCACCCCAGGUCCAACAAUGCUUUGCUAAAUUCCCUCAGCAGAUGCCACCAGAUGGACGUUCCAUCUCUUCCCAGGCCACUGACCUCCUGUCUCUUCACCUCACAACUCUGUGGCAGCCUUUUGUCCGUGCCCCAAACCUGGGACCUGGCCAGCAGGAAGGAGUGGGGAGAAAUUCCCCAUUGACCCUGGGCUCCAGAGCUCAUGGCUUGGUCCAAAGGUCUUGUGUGCUGAUAGCUGGGGCCAGGCCUCACCCCCCAGCUGGCUGGUGGCACCCAAGGGACUCGUUUCAGUAGCCAGUGGCUCAGGAACUUCUUGGUCUGAUGUUCUUCACUGGUGAAAAAAUAAUACACAGAGAGCAAAAGUGUUUGAAUUUGAGGUAACAUAGCAGAAAGCUCAAGGCCAACACAGCCCUGCUCCUGAAAAAUGCACUUUGUCAGAAAAGGACAAGGGGAAGAGACAAGAACAGCUCUGCAGGAACACAGCGAAUCGCCCAACCAGCCCCUGGUGCCCCCUCUGCCAGCCAACUACAGCCAGGCCUGGAAUAAAACAUCCUUGGCCUGCCAUCCUCCCUGCCCUUUGGGGCCUCCCAACAACCUCAGAUUGAGCAAACUCAUCCUGGGGAGCACCAAGUGCAAAGCUGGUUAGUGUCUCUCUUCACUGUCCCUACACAGAGCCUACCCCAAGCUGUGACAGAGAUGAUGUGUCACCCCCACAGCCACUUCCACCCCAUCCCUGGCUUUACCCAUUGUCCAAUAAAGGGAUUUUUGCAGCAGA